GACUAAAAUGCCCGUAACACUUUUCUGUAAUUUGAGUGCCAUCACCCAACGCGGCUGUACUUGUGGGUUUUCAAUCCAUCUUGGCUUCUCUCAAAAUGCCGAACAAGUUCCAAUUCCCCAAUCCCUACCCAACCUAAGCUAGGGUUUUUGAUUCAAUCUCAUCUCCAAAAUCCAUAAACAAAUAAAACAAUAACUUGACUGGGUUCCUCAUCAAAUCGAAGUUUUUUUUUCCAAUUUUUGCAUUUAUUGUACGAAGAUUGGGUUUAACUUAAAUUUCUCUAGCAUGCUAUCAGUUAAAUUUGAGAGAAAACGGUCAUAAAUCUCUUUCUAAGAGGCUGGGGAUCCCCACUGCCAUUGGAGCAAAAAUUCAGACUCUCUGGUAAAAAGGCCAAGAGCACCUCAGGCUUAGGGAUCCUUGUUUUUCGCAGCACUGGAGAACACCAUUGUUUUUCUCCUUUUGAGCAACAAUUUGCUUAGUGAUUCUUUCUGUGAUGAUUCAAAUUCGCAGUCGCGUGCUUACCAGGACUCUUUGACUGGAUCACGAGCAUUUCUUUGGUUGAAGAGAAAACUGCCUGAUUGUCACCACCACAAAAUGAGACCUCAGAUCCACUCUUCUCAAACUCUCCUGGCACAUUGGUUUUAUGGGUUAAUUUCCUAAUUUGCUUUGUCAUCUGUGCUGUCGAUGCAUGUUAUAUUCCUCCUUCUUGUAAUCCAGAAAUAAAUAAAAGAAUUAUACUACUACAUUUGCCUUUUGUCAAA